ACCUAGUCCCGCCACACCCCCAAGGGUACUCAGCAGUGAUAAAUAUUGUUUAUAAGCGUCAGCUUGACUCAGUCAUGGAGAAGAGAGCCGGCCAACAAUGGUGCCAGCCGCCGCGGCUAAACCAAUGGGCUCAAGUUGAUAAUAUUCGGCGUUAAGCGUGAUUAAGGCUGACCUAAUAAUUAGAGUAAAACCUUUGUCUUAAAGCCGUGAAAAGCAUACAACAGGGAAUCUCAAAAACGAAAGUUACUCUAAUCUUGCUGACACACGACAGCUAGGAAACAAACUGGGAUUAGAUACCCCACUAUGCCUAGCCGUAAAAUAUUAACUCACACCUGUAAACGCCAGGGAAUUACGAGCCAAGCUUAAAACCCAAAGGACUUGACGGUGUCCCAACCAACUAGAGGAGCCUGUUCUGUAAUCGAUGAUCCACGUUUUACCUGACCCCCCCUUGCCCUUCAGCCUGUAUACCUCCGUCGUAAACCCGCCAUAUGAAUGUUUUCCAGCGGGUACAAUGACCCCCCCCCGUCAAUACGUCAGGUCAAGGUGCAGCCCAUGGGAGGAGGAAGUGAUGGGCUACAAUUUCUAAUCUAGAACAAACGAACUACUGCAUGAAACACAGUAUGAAGGAGGAUUUAGUAGUAAAAAGAAAAUAGCAUGUUCUUUUUAACAUGGCCCUGGGACGUGUACACA
rnacentral:rRNA from 1 species